GUCAUAGUAUAUUAUGUCGAAAAAAAUCUGAAAAAGGUCAUAGUAUAUAUGUCAAAAAAAAAAAAACCCCCACAGCGUAUCAGCCUGCAGCUGUACCUUUCUAGACACCAUGGUCAGGAUUCAGAGAUCACAGAGAAACAACAGAACUGUAAAAUCCUCCUGUUUCGCUGAAGUCACCGGUGUGGUUCCCCAUCAGCA